UCGAGCUUCAAAUAAUUCUCAAAUUUCAAGUUGUUUAUUCCUCUAUCCCAAAUCCUGAAGUCGACCAGGUGCCCUGGGUACGAAAAAUGGAAUUUUGGCAUUGGGCGAUCUGACGGGCAACAAUAAGGAACCAAUAGGUAGCCCAACCCACGGCCCAGCCCCCCGAUCCAGUGACAGCCCAGCACUUGUCACGUAUGGCGCCCCUUUUCAAACCAAACCACACAAAAAAAAAAAACGAAAGGCUAACCUGAAAUUAGGAGGGAAAAUGGAAAGGCGGUAACACUCUAAGGCGGCAAAACUCAUCGAAAUAACAUAAGACCCCCUUCUCCACUCCUUGCCGUCUCUGGUCUCUUCUCGCAUCCGUCUGCAAGGUGACCUGGCUGAAAUGAAAUGUAAAACCAGUCUGUGUACGAUAGCAUAAAUAAGAAUCCAAAGGUGAAACUUUGACACUCACAUUGAUUCAUAUCAGGUGCACUUGUCCACUGGCUUGAUCCAAGCAAGAGAUCUUGGCUUUUAAGCAACAUGCUUGUGGAGCUAGAAACUUCAGGGUGGAGAUGUGUAGCAGACAUGAAAGGGCUACUUGCCCCACUAACAUUCUCAGGUGAUACGGCAGAUGGAAUGAAGGCUGCAUUUGUCUGAGCCAAUAGCUGGGUGAAAGGAAUAUUGUCCAAACUCAUCUCCAGGUUGAAAGAAGGCUUCCUAUAUAUUCCAGCAUUGUAAUUUCGAACCCCCAUUUCUGCACCUGGAACUGGAUUCCAACUGCUGAAACUGUUCAAUUCUGCACAAUUUCUGAAAUUUUCACAUGCAACUACCUUAUGA